GUGCCCGGGGGGCUUCGAUCUCUUAGGAGUCGGACCCCCCAACCGGCCCCACACGUGUCUACCGACCCUGUUGCCUCGGCGGGCCCGCUAUAUCUAUGGCCGCCGGGGAGGGGAAACCCUCUCUGGUCAGCGCCCGCCGGCGGACAAAAAACAAAUCUUGAAGUAAAUGCAGUCUGAGUAAUUAAACAAAUUAAUUAAAACUUUCAACAACGGAUCUCUUGGUUCC
rnacentral:misc_RNA from 1 species